rnacentral:rRNA from 1 species
UACGGGGGAGAGCAAGCGUUGUUCGGAUUUACUGGGCGUAAAGGGCGCGUAGGCGGCGCAACAAGUCACUUAGUGAAAUCUCCGGGCUUAACCCGGAGCGGUCAAGUGAUACUGUCGUGCUGAAGAGUGCGGAAGGGGCUACUGGAAUUCUCGGUGUAGCGGUGAAAGUGCGUAGAUAUCGGAGAGGAACACCUGGCGGCGAAGGCGGGUAGCUGGGCCGACACU